rnacentral:rRNA from 1 species
GUGUCAGCCGCCGCGGUAAGACGAACCGUCCAAACGUUAUUCGGAAUCACUGGGCUUACAGAGUUCGUAGGCGGUCUGGAAAGUUGGGUGUGAAAUCCCUCGGCCUAACCGAGGAGCUGCGCUUGAAGCUACCAGACUCGAGGGGGAUAGAGGAAAGCGGAACUGAUGGUGGAGCGGUGAAAUGCGUUGAUAUCAUCAGGAACACCGGUGGCGAAGGCGGCUUUCUGGGUCUUACCUGACGCUGAGGAACGAAAGCCAGGGGAGCGAACGGGAUUAGAUACCCCAGUAGUCC